UCCCAUUUAAAAUUGGACCCACAGAUGCUACCAAAAGUGAAAGAAACAAUGAGAGAAGAGAACAAGGGAACAACACAGAAGAUACUGAAGGAAUCCUGGUGUGCUACUGAGUUUGGGUCAUUAUUUGUGCAGAGUAUUCCUCAUGUCAGCAUGAGUUUUCCCUGGAAUCCUUCACUUUCUCCUCCCUUCUCUCGAAGACAUACUGAGAACUUUGGUGAACACAGUGGGACUGAAAAAGGAACUGGCUUCACACAUACACUAUACCAUGACCCUGGACAUACUUCAGCAAAGACUGAACUAUUUACUCCUGAAUUGGUUGAAAAUGGUGUUGAGGAUAGAAACAUGGAUGAAUACAGGU